GAAAAGGCAGCUUUUUCUAACAGGCACACAAGGCCUUACUGAUCUCUCAGCGUUUGGAUUGCUCAUUCAUUGAUCGUGCAGCGUUCUGAGACACUUCAGAUCAAGGAAGCACUGGUAUUAGUAUCUCUGCAAAGAGAUUAGAAUUCAACUGUUAGCAUGAUAUACACUUCCUAGUGUACUUGCUUCUAAAAUAUUUUGUAUCUAAUCAAUCUACAGUUAUGUAUUUCUUUAUUAGAAUCUGGACAUACAACUCUGUAUUUCUUAAGAGAGUGUACUCACCAAGAGCUUUGGAAAAUUAUUUUUAUGCAAACAACAAUGUAUUAAACUUUGUAUACACAAACUGAAGCAGGUUUUGAAAUAUUUAAAAACAUUUCAGCAGACAUGACCUUUGAAGGCCCCUUUCCAAGCAAGCUGCUCUAUCCUAUUCUGCUGUAAAAUUUACAUAGUUUAGAAUGGAAUUGGCAGCUAUGUAAUAACCCUGAGGAAAAUACCUGUACAGGAAGAGGAAUUUUUAGGCCUUUUAUUAACUCACAUCCUUAUUCAGCGACACAAAUUUGACCAAUCUGAGUUACAAUAAAUUGCUCUCAGUACCAAGACUGACUGUUCUAUAAGUGUAGGUGGGUUUUUCAUACAUACCGAAUACUGCCUCUCCUCUGCAUAACCUGCAUAAGGUCUAUUGUUGCCUGGAUAGACAAAGCCGUCGUAUUGUUGGGGUUGCUGGCUGGAAAGAUAGUCUGGUCUCCUCUGUGGCUGAGCAUACCUGGGGCUAUGCAAAAGAAAAAAAA
rnacentral:lncRNA from 1 species